GGUCCGGUGGCUCAGGCGGUUAGAGCACCACGCUGAUAACGUGGGGGUCGUGAGUUCAAAUCUCACCCGGACCA
rnacentral:tRNA from 1 species